rnacentral:rRNA from 1 species
CGAACGGGGAGCAGCCCAGAGUCUUAAUCAGCAUUAGCAUCAGGAGAACGGUCUGGAAAGUCCGGCAGUAAAGGGUGAUAGCCCCGUAUCCGAAGGUGUUAGUGUUGUGAACUCGACGAGUAGGGCGGGACACGUGUUAUCCUGUCUGAAUAUGGGGGGACCAUCCUCCAAGGCUAAAUACUCCUGAUUGACCGAUAGUGAACCAGUACCGUGAGGGAAAGGCGAAAAGAACCCCGGCGAGGGGAGUGAAAUAGAACCUGAAACCGUGUACGUACAAGCAGUGGGAGCCUUGAUUUAUCAGGGUGACUGCGUACCUUUUGUAUAAUGGGUCAGCGACUUAUAUUCUGUAGCAAGGUUAACCGAAUAGGGGAGCCGUAGGGAAACCGAGUCUUAACUGGGCGAAUAAGUUGCAGGGUAUAGACCCGAAACCCGGUGAUCUAGCCAUGGGCAGGUUGAAGGUUGGGUAACACUAACUGGAGGACCGAACCGACUAAUGUUGAAAAAUUAGCGGAUGACUUGUGGCUGGGGGUGAAAGGCCAAUCAAACCGGGAGAUAGCUGGUUCUCCCCGAAAGCUAUUUAGGUAGCGCCUCGUGGCGCCUCGUG